AGGUGCUUUUAAAUUAGUCAAAAAGUUAGGGGUAACCUCUUCUGGCAUAUGUCUAUGCGGGCCCGUGUGUAAAUAGAACAUAAAUUACCGGUGUGUGUAAAUAAAGUGUAAAAUAGUGGUAUAAACUGUCUGUUGAAUUUCUCCUGAGUGUUGAAAAAAGGAAAAACUCUUUUCUGCUCUCUCUCUGAGAGAGGGGCUGUGUGUGUGAGACAGGAAGUGUGCAUGCCCAUAGAAGGAAAGAGAUGAGGUAAACUCUGUGCAGAUAGACCGAAGUAAAAAAAAAAAAAAAAAAAAAAAAGGAAAAGGGUCUCUCUCUCUGUCUCUGUGAGAGGAAAAAGGUGGGGGCCGAGUGAGCCCGCGGGGCCGAGCGGGUCCGCGGGAGCGAGCGUGUAUGCUGUAUGAGGAAGAAGGGAGUGAGAGGGAGCGAGUGAAAAGAGUAAUCGAGUAUUUGGUGAUUUUUUUUUAUUAUUUCAGAGGCACUGGUGUCUUCAUACAGGUGUUUUUUCUUAACCUGGAAGCCUGAGUACGGCAGCAGAAGACAGGCCAAGCUUUGGCUAAAAUUCACGGCUGGACACCAGAGUUGUCCUCACCCCUCCCGGUAAAACAAAAAAGAGAGAAUGUAGUUUGAGGCAGGUUUUUCUCGCUGACCUGCUCUGGGUGCUGUGUCCCUGAAUCUCACCAGUGUUAACCUCUGGCGGAAGACAUGGAGAAAAGGAAAAGAUGUUCCUGAGCCGAAGCUGACCUGGACUCCUACCCUCCCCUCUACCAUCGUUGCCCUCUCCGCGACCAUCUUUGACCCUUUGACCCCUGAAGGCCACAGCAGCUGGACUCACAACAACAACUUGAGGAUGUCAACAGUGCUGCAAAAGAGUGAUCUCAUGCAGCAGAGACGGAGAGCACUAAACCUAAAGCCCGUUUCACUACACGGGGGAAAUUCCCAGGCUGCGUCAGCUGACAGAGCUGUGACGAGACGCGCAUUAAGCCCG
ensembl:lncRNA